CAUGUCUAGGAUCAUAUCGGCUAAUGGUGAAUCUGCGAAUGGCUCAUUAUACCAGCUAUAACCUACUCGAUCGUCUCAUCCUAAACGGAUAACUGCGAUAAUUUUGGAGCUAAUACGUGCACCAAAGCCCGUGGUUCGCUGCGGGCGCACUCAUUAGAAUAAGACCACUCCGAGCUUGCUCGUUGCGGUGAACUCUGAAUGCAUCGCUGAUCGCAUGGCCUUGUGCCGGCGACAGAUCGAAAGGGUAGCUGCCUUAUCAACUAGAUGGUAGUCUACGUGUCUACCAUGGUUGUGACGGGUAACGGAGAAUAAGGGUUCGACUCCGGAGAGGGAGCCUGAGAAACGGCUACCACAUCCAAGGAAGGCAGCAGGCGCGUAAAUUACCCACUCUCAAUGCGAGGAGGUAGUAACUUUCAAUACCGAGACAGGUCUCUCUGAGGCUUGUUAUCGGAAUGGGUUCAGUCUAAACCCAAUAUCGAGGAUCUAUGAGAGGGCAAGUCUGGUGCCAGCAGCCGCGGUAAUUCCAGCUCUCAAAGCGUAUAUCGUCAUUGCUGCGGUUAAAAAGCUCGUAGUUGGACCUGAGUCUCGUGAGCGCGGUACACCUUGUGUGCAACCGUGUCUCCGGACUGAUGUUGGUGGUUGUCGCUUGCGGCGGCCAUCGACGUUUACCUUGAGUAAAUCAAAGUGCUCAACACAGGCGUUUCGCUUGAAUGUUCAUGCAUGGAAUAAUGGAAUAGGACUUCGGUUCGUUCUGUUGGUCUCAGAACCGUUGUAAUGGUUAAGAGGGACUGCCGGGGGCAUCCGUAUCGCUGCGCGAGAGGUGAAAUUCUGGGACCGCAGCGGGACGUCCGAAAGCGAAAGCAUUUGCCAAGAAUGUCUUCAUUAAUCAAGAACGAAAGUCAGAGGAUCGAAGGCGAUUAGAUACCGCCCUAGUUCUGACCGUAAACGAUACCAACUAGCGACCGAGCGGGGAACCGUUGUCUCAGCUCGGAAGCUUCCCGGAAACGAAAGUUUUCGGGUUCCGGGGGUAGUAUGGUUGCAAAGCUGAAACUUAAAGGAAUUGACGGAAGGGCACCACCAGGAGUGGAGCCUGCGGCUUAAUUUGACUCAACACGGGAAAACUCACCCGGCCCGGACACUGUUAUGAUUGACAGAUUGAGAGUUCUUUCUUGAUUCGGUGGUUGGUGGUGCAUGGCCGUUCUUAGUUGGUGGAGUGAUUUGUCUGGUCUAUUCCGAUAACGAACGAGACUCUAACCUGCUAACUAGUUUCGCGAUAGCUUGCUGUCGUGCGAACUUCUUAGAGGGAUACGUGGUGUUCAGCCACACGAUAAAGAGCAAUAACAGGUCUGUGAUGCCCUUCGAUGUCCGGGGCUGCACGCGCGCUACAAUGGUUGGAUCAGCGGGUUGCGCUGGGCCGAAAGGCUUGGCAAAACCGUUGAAAACCAGCCGUAACCGGGAUAGGGAAUUGCAAUUAUUUCCCUUCAACGAGGAAUUCCCAGUAAGUGUGAGUCAUCAGCUCGCGUUGAUUACGUCCCUGCCCUUUGUACACACCGCCCGUCGCUGCCCGGGACUGAGUUGCUUCGAGAAGUCUGAGGA
rnacentral:rRNA from 1 species